rnacentral:rRNA from 1 species
UCUAAGGUUUCCAGAGUAAAGCUGAUCUGCUCUGGGUAAGUCGGGGCCUAAGCACAGGUCGCAAGACGUAAGCGAUGGAUAACAGGUUUAGAUUCCUGUACCACGCAUUAUCAGAACUGUAGGGACGCAUGUGGAAAGCACGAGCCGGGAAUGGAAAGACCGGUACAAGCGGGGUAGGAGUACAAUAGGCAAAUCCGUUGUAUGAUCCGAAGACGUGAUGUGGAGCGAAAUAAAGUAGUGAAGCGUGUGAGCCAUGUGCCGAGAAAAGCUGCUAUUGUGUAAUGCGUGCCCGUACCGUAAACCGACACAGGUGGAUGAGGAGAGAAUCCUAAGGCCGGCGGAAGAAGCAUUGUUAAGGAAUUCGGCAAAAUGACCCCGUAACUUCGGGAGAAGGGGUGCCUGCGAGAGCAGGCCGCAGAGAAUAGGCUCAAGCAACUGUUUAGCAAAAACACAGGUCUAUGCGAAACCGAAAGGUGAAGUAUAUGGGCUGACGCCUGCCCGGUGCUGGAAGGUUAAGAGGAGAGGUUAGCUUCGGCGAAGCUUUGAAUUUAAGCCCCAGUAAACGGCGGCCGUAACUAUAACGGUCCUAAGGUAGCGAAAUUCCUUGUCGGGUAAGUUCCGACCCGCACGAAAGGCGUAAUGAUUUGAGCACUGUCUCGACAAUGCAUCCGGUGAAAUUGAAGUACCAGUGAAGAUGCUGGUUACCCGCGCCAGGACGGAAAGACCCCAUGGAGCUUUACUCCAGUUUGAUACUGGGAUUCGGUACUGCAUGUACAGGAUAGGUGGGAGACGAAGAAGGAUGGACGCCAGUCUGUCCGGAGUCGCUGUUGGGAUACCACCCCUGUAGUACUGGGUUUCUAACCAGUUGCCAUGAACUGGCAAUGGGACAAUGUCAGGCGGGGAGUUUGACUGGGGCGGUCGCCUCCGAAAGGGUAUCGGAGGCGCUCAAAGGUUCCCUCAGAAUGGUUGGAAACCAUUUGAAGAGUGCAAAGGCAGAAGGGAGCUUGACUGCGACACCGACGGGUGGAGCAGGUACGAAAGUAGGACUUAGUGAUCCGGUGGUAUAAAGUGGGAUUGCCAUCGCUCAACGGAUAAAAGCUACCCUGGGGAUAACAGGCUUAUCACUCCCAAGAGUUCACAUCGACGGAGUGGUUUGGCACCUCGAUGUCGGCUCAUCGCAUCCUGGGGCUGUAGUAGGUCCCAAGGGUUGGGCUGUUCGCCCAUUAAAGCGGUACGCGAGCUGGGUUCAGAACGUCGUGAGACAGUUCGGUCCCUAUCCGGCGCGGGCGGAGGAUAUUUGAGAGGAGCUGUCCUUAGUACGAGAGGACCGGGAUGGACGGACCACUGGUGUAUCUGUUGUCGACCAACGGCAUGGCAGAGUAGCCAAGUCUGGAAGGGAUAAACGCUGAAGGCAUCUAAGCGUGAAGCCCCCCUCAAGAUGAGAUAUCCCUCCUUCGGGAGUAAGACCCCUUGAAGACUACAAGGUAGAUAGGGCAGAGGUGGAAGCAUGGCAACAUGUGGAGCUGACUGUUACUAAUAGGUCGAGGGCUUAAUCU